ACACGGGGAGGAGAGAGGAGGGCACACACGGAAGCAGCUGAAGCGGUUCUGUGUCCCUGAAACAGAAACAUGUGAAAGUUUCGCGUUUCGGAUGUUUGGAAGUUUGUUCAGACUUCGCGAGGAACAGCUAAUGCUGUAAAUAACACUACGGAGAUUUCUUGAACAAUUGUUUUUGACAGCGCCCGAUCUUCAGCUCAGCACCAUUGUCUGCUUCACCAUGCCGCUGGUGGUGGAUGCCAUGUGGGCACUGUGGAGCAUUGGGGCUGGCAUCUAUGACUACUUCCACACCAGUGCCAUGGAGGAGCGGAUCCAUACGCUGGAAAACGCCCUCACUAUCCAUCAGUUUGUGAUCACAGCUCUGUCGGCAGGCUUCAUCCUGCUCAUGAUGUACAUACUGUGGAGAAAAUACUAAAAUGUCUCCUGGGCUACACCAACCAAGGCCCGGCAUCCACUAAAUACCUUUCAGUACACAGGCAAGUUUCCACCCAGAUGUUGGGAAGAGACAGUUUUUUUGCACAGCACAAAAUGUAUGCUGCUCAUACAUGAAGAUUAAACAUGUUCAGUCGGGACAUCCUGAUCAAGGUCAGGAGACAGGCGGGCAGCAAAACAAAAGGAAAAAAGAAGCUUCAUGAGGACUUGUUGUCUCUGAGAACUUGAUUUGUUGUGUCUCACUGUGUUUUGGAUGUUAAACUGGCCUGAGGUUAUUUAAAGACCAUUCAUCCAUCAUCAAUACCUCAUAAUCUUGGACGGUUGCAGGGGGAGCUGGAGCCAUUCCUAGCUGAUAGUGGGGGUAUACAGUACAUGGACAGACAUUAACCCCAAAUAGAGAUGCAAUUUUGCACUUUAACAUUUUCUGGUGCCAAGCUUGAAGGUCUUUUUUGUCUAGUUGAUAAUAUUCUGAGGUUAUGCCCAUAACCUAACACACCUUAUCAAUGUGUUUUGUCAAAAUUGAUGAUCAAACUUUAGUAGGAUGACCAAGAAAAACCAUGUAAAUGCUAAAACAAGCACAAAGUCACAAUAGCAAUCUAAUCUGAAGAUCCAUAAAAAGAAGACAAAUUGUAGCGAUCACAUGGGCAACUUCAGGCUACUAAUUGCCAUGCAAACAGAAGAGACUAGUUUUUACAAACUUAUAUUUAUUUAAAAUAACCACAUUUUUAAAUUGUAUUGAUUCCCGUAAAUUGACGUAAUUAUCUGCCUAUUAUACAUUGUAAUCAUGAUUUAAUCACCUCUGCCCUGAGAUAACAAAGGGCCUUAAACAAUCUCCACCUCUUUGGUGACUCAAUUUUCCAGAGCUGUGAGGAGUCAUGUGCUGAGAAUCCAGUCUAGACACACUGUAACCUAGAUUUUGACUUUAAUCCAGAGCUACAGCGAGAGAGAGAAGUGUCGCAAGAAGGCAUAACGUAAACAUUCACACAGUUCUUGAGAAAAUCCUAAGUGUUUUCUUGCAACAAAACAUACCAUAGUCAUGUUUAGGAGUUUACACAGAAGCUACUGCAAUUAAUGAAGUGGAAGAUUUCUAUUAUUGUGUUCCAGUUGCCUCUAAAGUCGGUACUUUUUAUGACAUACGAGGACUUGAGGAGUUUAUGCAAAUUGGGCAACUUGGAAUUACAACUUUAGGGGGCGCUCUAAUUGAACCUUCCUCCUAAUUAGGAAUGCACUAUUAUUCUACAAGGUCCAGUAUGUAUGGAUGAGUCGCCUCUAGUGGUGAGACUGCAGAUUGCAACAAACUGAUGAGGACUCCUAUGCCCACCUUUUAAUUUAGUCAGGGAACUAUAGUGGCCUUUGCAUUCUAGAAAGGAUAUAAACACUCUUUCACAACUCUUCCACUCUCUGCUUCUUCCUCAUCCUUCAUUAAUGCAUCAGGUCUAUGUGGACGUUCUGCUACGUUUGCUGUCGCUUCUGGACGAUGGUGGCACUCGUUAAGAAAGGCCUUUGCCUCAAGUUCAUAGUAAAGGCUUAUUUUAAAUCACUGGGAAAAAAAAACUGCCACUAUAGCCUCCCAAAUGUUACACACUGCACGUUUAACGAAAUUAGCAUAGUAAAUGAGGUGAUAAUAUUGAAAAGUUGGGUUGUGAAUAAGUUCGUGGACGAACAGUUUAAAUUCUAGGUUAUAGGUGGAUGUGACUAAUUUUUUAUUGUUACGGUGAAGCAGAAAAUAUCCAAGAGAUGCCUUUAUCUGCUGUGGUUUGCACUUAUUCUGGUAGCAGGUUGAAAACAAUUACAUUCAUAUUGUGUGUGUGUGUGUUUAUUAGUCUAUAGCGCAAGUUUCCUGACUAAUUGUUUUAAAUGUGGUCAAGUAAUGUAAUCAAACAUGUAGGUCACUUUUUGAUCCUGUUGUACUUUGUCGGUGCACAGUACCAACCACUAACAUGGCUACUACUAAAGGGAAUGUGUUCAGAGCUCAGAGCCACGUGUUUUUAAUUGUGCCCUUUUUGUUCACAUCAUGGUUAAUGAGUUGUAUUUAAAUAAAAUAAUUUAAAACAA